UACGUAGGGGGCAAGCGUUGUCCGGAAUCAUUGGGCGUAAAGAGCGUGUAGGCGGCUUCGUCAGUCCGUUGUGAAAGUCCAGGGCUCAACCCGGGAACUGCGUCUGAUACUGGCAGGCUUGAAUCCGGGAGAGGGAUGUGGAAUUCCAGGUGUAGCGGUGAAAUGCGUAGAUAUCUGGAGGAACACCGGUGGCGAAGGCGGCAUCCUGGACCGACACUGACACUGAGGAGCGAAAGCCAGGGGAGCAAACGGG
rnacentral:rRNA from 1 species